rnacentral:rRNA from 1 species
AUUGAACGCUGGCGGCAUGCUUUACACAUGCAAGUCGAACGGCAGCGCGGGCUUCGGCCUGGCGGCGAGUGGCGAACGGGUGAGUAAUGCAUCGGAACGUGCCCAGUAGUGGGGGAUAGCCCGGCGAAAGCCGGAUUAAUACCGCAUACGACCUGAGGGUGAAAGCGGGGGACCGAAAGGCCUCGCGCUAUUGGAGCGGCCGAUGUCGGAUUAGCUAGUUGGUGGGGUAAAGGCUUACCAAGGCGACGAUCCGUAGCUGGUCUGAGAGGACGACCAGCCACACUGGGACUGAGACACGGCCCAGACUCCUACGGGAGGCAGCAGUGGGGAAUUUGGGACAAUGGGGGCAACCCUGAUCCAGCCAUGCCGCGUGCGGGAAGAAGGCCUUCGGGUUGUAAACCGCUUUUGUUCGGGAAGAAAUCCUCUGGGCUAAUACCCCGGGGGGAGGACGGUACCGGAAGAAUAAGCACCGGCGAACUACGU